CCCCUGAUCCAAAGAUUCCCCACCCUGGGUUGAAGCAGAAAAGCCAAAUACUGAUGCUUUACUUAUUUGACUGGGCCUCCCUUUUACUGUCUGGCUGCGAUGCCUCUGGCAGUAUGGAAACAGCAGAGAAUGGAUGAGAGGAAAUGUGGCAGAAGUUUAUUCUGAACGCCAGUCUUGGCUAAAGAAGACUGCCUCACAAGUCACCUAACUGGAGAAGAAAUAACUUCCUUUCAUCUGGAAAUACAGUGCCCCUUUAAAAACUCAGUUUGCUGGCUGUCCUCCAGGUGAAACUACUAGAGCAACAAUUCCUAGCCUGAUCCCCUCCAGAUGUUGGACUACAGCUUCCUGGCCAUUGGUUGUGCUGCUGAAAAUUAGAGUCCAACAUCACCUGGAGGGCCACAGAUUGGGGAAGGCUGAGCUGAGAGGGAGGAGAGCAGUCCUGUGGCAAAAAGGUGGGAGUUGCAGAUUUCCACCUUUCUCCAAAAUGAAAGACAGCACUGGUGUAAGGCAGAACCACGGCGGGCAGUUCAAGGACCUGAUUGCACAGCAAUAUUUGCUGCCAAUGCAUCUCUCCCCAGCGGAGUUUACAUGAUCAAACCAAAGCAUUUUCCUAAGUCUUUUGAGGUAAGGU